rnacentral:rRNA from 1 species
GGUUAAGCGACUAAGCGUACACGGUGGAUGCCCUGGCAGUCAGAGGCGAUGAAGGGCGUGCUAAUCUGCGAUAAGCGCCGGUAAGGUGAUAUGAACCGUUAUAACCGGCGAUACCCGAAUGGGGAAACCCAGUGUGACUCGUCACACUAUCAUUAACUGAAUCCAUAGGUUAAUGAGGCGAACCGGGGGAACUGAAACAUCUAAGUACCCCGAGGAAAAGAAAUCAACCGAGAUUCCCCCAGUAGCGGCGAGCGAACGGGGAGGAGCCCAGAGCCUGAAUCAGCAUGUGUGUUAGUGGAAGCGUCUGGAAAGGCGCGCGAUACAGGGUGACAGCCCCGUACACAAAAGCGCAUGUGCUGUGAGCUCGAUGAGUAGGGCGGGACACGUGGUAUCCUGUCUGAAUAUGGGGGGACCAUCCUCCAAGGCUAAAUACUCCUGACUGACCGAUAGUGAACCAGUACCGUGAGGGAAAGGCGAAAAGAACCCCGGCGAGGGGAGUGAAAAAGAACCUGAAACCGUGUACGUACAAGCAGUGGGAGCACAGGUUUACCUGUGUGACUGCGUACCUUUUGUAUAAUGGGUCAGCGACUUAUAUUCUGUAGCAAGGUUAACCGAAUAGGGGAGCCGGAGGGAAACCGAGUCUUAACCGGGCGUUAAGUUGCAGGGUAUAGACCCGAAACCCGGUGAUCUAGCCAUGGGCAGGUUGAAGGUUGGGUAACACUAACUGGAGGACCGAACCGACUAAUGUUGAAAAAUUAGCGGAUGACCUGUGGCUGGGGGUGAAAGGCCAAUCAAACCGGGAGAUAGCUGGUUCUCCCCGAAAGCUAUUUAGGUAGCGCCUCGUGAAUUCAUCUCCGGGGGUAGAGCACUGUUUCGGCUAGGGGGCCAUCCCGGCUUACCAACCCGAUGCAAACUGCGAAUACCGGAGAAUGUUAUCACGGGAGACACACGGCGGGUGCUAACGUCCGUCGUGAAGAGGGAAACAACCCAGACCGCCAGCUAAGGUCCCAAAGUCAUGGUUAAGUGGGAAACGAUGUGGGAAGGCCCAGACAGCCAGGAUGUUGGCUUAGAAGCAGCCAUCAUUUAAAGAAAGCGUAAUAGCUCACUGGUCGAGUCGGCCUGCGCGGAAGAUGUAACGGGGCUAAACCAUGCACCGAAGCUGCGGCAGCGACGCUUAUGCGUUGUUGGGUAGGGGAGCGUUCUGUAAGCCUGUGAAGGUGGCCUGUGAGGGUUGCUGGAGGUAUCAGAAGUGCGAAUGCUGACAUAAGUAACGAUAAAGCGGGUGAAAAGCCCGCUCGCCGGAAGACCAAGGGUUCCUGUCCAACGUUAAUCGGGGCAGGGUGAGUCGACCCCUAAGGCGAGGCCGAAAGGCGUAGUCGAUGGGAAACGGGUUAAUAUUCCCGUACUUGGUGUUACUGCGAAGGGGGGACGGAGAAGGCUAUGUUGGCCGGGCGACGGUUGUCCCGGUUUAAGCGUGUAGGUGUGUGUUCCAGGUAAAUCCGGUUCACUUUAACACUGAGGCGUGACGACGAGGCACUACGGUGCUGAAGCAACAAAUGCCCUGCUUCCAGGAAAAGCCUCUAAGCAUCAGGUAACAUCAAAUCGUACCCCAAACCGACACAGGUGGUCAGGUAGAGAAUACCAAGGCGCUUGAGAGAACUCGGGUGAAGGAACUAGGCAAAAUGGUGCCGUAACUUCGGGAGAAGGCACGCUGACACGUAGGUGAAGUGAUUUACUCAUGGAGCUGAAGUCAGUCGAAGAUACCAGCUGGCUGCAACUGUUUAUUAAAAACACAGCACUGUGCAAACACGAAAGUGGACGUAUACGGUGUGACGCCUGCCCGGUGCCGGAAGGUUAAUUGAUGGGGUCAGCGCAAGCGAAGCUCCUGAUCGAAGCCCCGGUAAACGGCGGCCGUAACUAUAACGGUCCUAAGGUAGCGAAAUUCCUUGUCGGGUAAGUUCCGACCUGCACGAAUGGCGUAAUGAUGGCCAGGCUGUCUCCACCCGAGACUCAGUGAAAUUGAACUCGCUGUGAAGAUGCAGUGUACCCGCGGCAAGACGGAAAGACCCCGUGAACCUUUACUAUAGCUUGACACUGAACAUUGAGCCUUGAUGUGUAGGAUAGGUGGGAGGCUUUGAAGUGUGGACGCCAGUCUGCAUGGAGCCGACCUUGAAAUACCACCCUUUAAUGUUUGAUGUUCUAACGUGGACCCGUAAUCCGGGUUGCGGACAGUGUCUGGUGGGUAGUUUGACUGGGGCGGUCUCCUCCUAAAGAGUAACGGAGGAGCACGAAGGUUGGCUAAUCCUGGUCGGACAUCAGGAGGUUAGUGCAAUGGCAUAAGCCAGCUUGACUGCGAGCGUGACGGCGCGAGCAGGUGCGAAAGCAGGUCAUAGUGAUCCGGUGGUUCUGAAUGGAAGGGCCAUCGCUCAACGGAUAAAAGGUACUCCGGGGAUAACAGGCUGAUACCGCCCAAGAGUUCAUAUCGACGGCGGUGUUUGGCACCUCGAUGUCGGCUCAUCACAUCCUGGGGCUGAAGUAGGUCCCAAGGGUAUGGCUGUUCGCCAUUUAAAGUGGUACGCGAGCUGGGUUUAGAACGUCGUGAGACAGUUCGGUCCCUAUCUGCCGUGGGCGCUGGAGAACUGAGGGGGGCUGCUCCUAGUACGAGAGGACCGGAGUGGACGCAUCACUGGUGUUCGGGUUGUCAUGCCAAUGGCACUGCCCGGUAGCUAAAUGCGGAAGAGAUAAGUGCUGAAAGCAUCUAAGCACGAAACUUGCCCCGAGAUGAGUUCUCCCUGAGACUUAGAGUCUCCUGAAGGAACGUUGAAGACGACGACGUUGAUAGGCCGGGUGUGUAAGCGCAGCGAUGCGUUGAGCUAACCGGUACUAAUGAACCGUGAGGCUUAACCUU